GACGAACGCUGGCGGCGUGCUUAACACAUGCAAGUCGAACGGUAAGGCCCUUCGGGGUACACGAGUGGCGAACGGGUGAGUAACACGUGGGUGAUCUGCCCUGCACUUCGGGAUAAGCCUGGGAAACUGGGUCUAAUACCGGAUAGGACUCCUGGCUUCAUGGUUGGGGGUGGAAAGCUUUUGCGGUGUGGGAUGGGCCCGCGGCCUAUCAGCUUGUUGGUGGGGUAAUGGCCUACCAAGGCGACGACGGGUAGACGGCCUGGGAGGGGAACCGGUCACACUGGGACGGAGAUACGGCCCAGACUCCUACGGGAGGCAGCAGUGGGGAAUAUUGCACAAUGGGCGCAAGCCUGAUGCAGCGACGCCGCGUGAGGGAUGACGGCCUUCGGGUUGUAAACCUCUUUCAGCUAUGACGAAGCGCAAGUGACGGUAGUAGCAGAAGAAGGACCGGCCAACUACGUGCCAGCCGCCGCCGUAA
rnacentral:rRNA from 1 species